AUACCUACCUGGCGUCGGGAUACCGUGAUCAUGCAGGCGGUUCCGCCGGGGUGCGGCUGCUCCAUUGCACUGCGGAGUGGUUGACCCUUGUGAUUAUUUUUAUAUUUUAUAAGUUUCACUUCUACCGUGUGUGACUUGCAGACUUGCACACACACA